rnacentral:rRNA from 1 species
UACGUAGGGAGCAAGCGUUGUCCGGAUUUACUGGGCGUAAAGAGCGCGUAGGCGGAAGCUUAAGUGUGGCCUGAAAGCCCCCGGCUCAACCGGGGAGGGUGGCUGCAAACUGGGCUUCUUGAGGUCGAUAGAGGAGAGCGGAAUUCCUGGUGUAGCGGUGAAAUGCGUAGAUAUCAGGAGGAACACCGGUGGCGAAGGCGGCUCUCUGGGUCGGACCUGACGCUGAGGCGCGAAAGCGUGGGGAGCGAACGGG